UUUGAUCCUGGCUCAGGAUGAACGCUAGCGGCAGGCUUAACACAUGCAAGUCGAAGGGCAUCGGGGAGAGUGCCUGCACUCUCCGCCGGCGACUGGCGCACGGGUGAGUAACACGUAUGCAACCUGCCCUCCACAGGGGGACAACCUUCCGAAAGGGAGGCUAAUCCCGCGUAUAUUCCCUGGGGGCAUCCCUGGGGGAGGAAAGGGUUACCGGUGGAGGAUGGGCAUGCGGCGCAUUAGGCAGUAGGCGGGGUAACGGCCCACCUAACCGACGAUGCGUAGGGGUUCUGAGAGGAAGGUCCCCCACACUGGUACUGAGACACGGACCAGACUCCUACGGGAGGCAGCAGUGAGGAAUAUUGGUCAAUGGGCGGGAGCCUGAACCAGCCAAGCCGCGUGAAGGAAGAAGGCGCCAGGCGUCGUAAACUUCUUUUGUCGGGGAACAAAGGGCGCCACGCGUGGCGUUGUGAGUGUACCCGAAGAAAAAGCAUCGGCUAACUCCGUGCCAGCAGCCGCGGUAAUACGGAGGAUGCGAGCGUUAUCCGGAUUUAUUGGGUUUAAAGGGUGCGUAGGCGGUCCGGAAAGUCAGCGGUAAAAGCCCUGGGCUCAACCCCGGCGAGCCGUUGAAACUGUCGGACUAGAGACGGCGAGAAGUACGCGGAAUGCGCGGUGUAGCGGUGAAAUGCAUAGAUAUCGCGCAGAACUCCGAUUGCGAAGGCAGCGUACCGGCGCCGGACUGACGCUGAGGCACGAAAGCGUGGGUAUCGAACAGGAUUAGAUACCCUGGUAGUCCACGCAGUAAACGAUGAAUGCCGGCUGUCCGGGUCCGAGUGAGGGCUGGGUGGCGAAGCGAAAGCGAUAAGCAUCCCACCUGGGGAG
rnacentral:rRNA from 1 species